UACAGAGGUCUCAAGCGUUGUUCGGAUUUAUUGGGCGUAAAGCGCGUGUAGGCGGCCAGGUAGGUCGGUUGUGAAAAUUGGAGGCUCAACCUCCAGACGUCGAUCGAAACCAUCUGGCUAGAGUCCGGAAGAGGAGAAUGGAAUUCCUGGUGUAGCGGUGAAAUGCGCAGAUAUCAGGAAGAACACCGAUGGCGAAGGCAGUUCUCUGGGACGGUACUGACGCUGAGACGCGAAAGCGUGGGGAGCGAACAGG
rnacentral:rRNA from 1 species